rnacentral:rRNA from 1 species
CAUGCAAGUCGAGCGGUAAGGCCCUUCGGGGUACACGAGCGGCGAACGGGUGAGUAACACGUGGGUGAUCUGCCCUGCACUUCGGGAUAAGCCUGGGAAACUGGGUCUAAUACCGGAUAUGACCUUCGGCUGCAUGGCUGAGGGUGGAAAGGUUUACUGGUGCAGGAUGGGCCCGCGGCCUAUCAGCUUGUUGGUGGGGUAAUGGCCUACCAAGGCGACGACGGGUAGCCGACCUGAGAGGGUGACCGGCCACACUUGGGACUGAGACACGGCCCAGACUCCUACGGGAGGCAGCAGUGGGGAAUAUUGCACAAUGGGCGAAAGCCUGAUGCAGCGACGCCGCGUGAGGGAUGACGGCCUUCGGGUUGUAAACCUCUUUCAGCAGGGACAAACGAAAGUGACGGUCCUGCAGAAGAAGCACCGGCUAACUACGUGCCAGCAGCCGA